rnacentral:rRNA from 1 species
UACGUAGGGGGCAAGCGUUGUCCGGAAUCAUUGGGCGUAAAGCGCGCGUAGGCGGCCCGGUAAGUCCGCUGUAAAAGUCCAGGGCUCAACCCUGGAAAGCCGGUGGAUACUGUCGGGCUAGAGUCCGGAAGAGGCGAGUGGAAUUCCUGGUGUAGCGGUGGAAUGCGCAGAUAAUCAGGAGGAACACCGAUGGCGAAGGCAGCUCGCUGGGACGGUACUGACGCUGAGGCGCGAAGCGUGGGGAGCGAACAG